ACAGGAAUCAUCAGCAGAUCUUGUUAGAAUGCAGAUUCUGAUUCAGUGGGUCAGGGUGCGGCCCGAGAUUCUGCAUUUCUAACAAGCUCCAAGCUGAUGCCUGU
rnacentral:pre_miRNA from 1 species